GCUCGUGUGGAGGAACGGUAGACUCGCAUGCCUUAGGAGCAUGUGGCCGAAAGGCUGUGCAGGUUCGAAUCCUGCCACGAGCA
rnacentral:tRNA from 1 species